rnacentral:rRNA from 1 species
GAUGAACGCUGGCGGCGUGCUUUACACAUGCAAGUCUAACGAUGAAGCCCAGCUUGCUGGGUGGAUUAGUGGCGAACGGGUGAGUAACACGUGAGUAACCUGCCCUUAACUCUGGGAUAAGCCUGGGAAACUGGGUCUAAUACCGGAUAGGAGCGCCUACCGCAUGGUGGGUGUUGGAAAGAUUUAUCGGUUUUGGAUGGACUCGCGGCCUAUCAGCUUGUUGGUGAGGUAAUGGCUCACCAAGGCGACGACGGGUAGCCGGCCUGAGAGGGUGACCGGCCACACUGGGACUGAGACACGGCCCAGACUCCUACGGGAGGCAGCAGUGGGGAAUAUUGCACAAUGGGCGAAAGCCUGAUGCAGCGACGCCGCGUGAGGGAUGACGGCCUUCGGGUUGUAAACCUCUUUCAGUAGGGAAGAAGCGAAAGUGACGGUACCUGCAGAAGAAGCACCGGCUAACUACGUG